rnacentral:rRNA from 1 species
UGCAGUCGCACGGGCAGUAGCAAUAUUGUCAGUGGCGGACGGGUGAGUAACGCGUAGGAAUCUAUCCUUGGAUGGGGGACAACCGUGGGAAACUACGGCUAAUACCGCAUAAUGCCUGAGGGCCAAAGACGUAAGUCGUCUGGGGAGGAGCCUGCGUCUGAUUAGGUAGUUGGUGGGGUAAAGGCCUACCAAGCCUGCGAUCAGUAGCUGGUCUGAGAGGAUGAUCAGCCACAUUGGGACUGAGACACGGCCCAAACUCCUACGGGAGGCAGCAGUGGGGAAUAUUGGACAAUGGGGGCAACCCUGAUCCAGCAAUGCCGCGUGGGUGAAGAAGGUUUUCGGAUUGUAAAGCCCUUUUGGCGGGGACGAUGAUGACGGUACCCGCAGAAUAAGCUCCGGCUAACUUCGUGCCAGCAGCCGCGGUAAUACGAAGGGGGCUAGCGUUGCUCGGAAUGACUGGGCGUAAAGGGCGCGUAGGCGGCUUACAUAGUUAGGCGUGAAAUUCCUGGGCUCAACCUGGGGACUGCGUCUAAUACAUGUAGGCUUGAGUGUGAAAGAGGGUCGUGGAAUUUCCAGUGUAGAGGUGAAAUUCGUAGAUAUUGGAAAGAACACCGGUGGCGAAGGCGGCGACCUGGUUCAUUACUGACGCUGAGGCGCGAAAGCGUGGGGGAGCAAACAGGAUUAAAAUACCCUGGUAGUCCACGCUGUAAACGAUGUUGUGCUGGAUGUUGGGGUGCUUAGCACUUCAGUGUCGUAGCUAACGCGGUAAGCACACCGCUUGGGGAGUACGGCCGCAAGUUGAAACUCAAAGGAUGACGGGGCCGCACAGCGUGAGCAUGUGUUAUUCGAGCAACGGCAGACUAACAGAAUUGGACAUG